GACGAACGCUGGCGGCGUGCUUAACACAUGCAAGUCGAACGGGUCUGCCCUGUUUUUUGCGGGGUGGGUCAGUGGCGAACGGGUGAGUAACACGUGAGUAACCUGCCCCUCACUUCUGGAUAACCGCUUGAAAGGGUGGCUAAUACGGGGUGUUCUGGCUGUGCCGCAUGGUGUGGCUGGGAAAGAUUCACUUUUGUGGUGUUUUGGUGGGGGAUGGGCUCGCGGCCUAUCAACUUGUUGGUGGGGUGAUGGCCUGCCAAGGCUUUGACGGGUAGCCGGCCUGAGAGGGUGGGCGGUCACACUGGGACUGAGAUACGGCCCAGACUCCUGCGGGAGGCAGCAGUGGGGGGUAUUGCACAAUGGGCGGAAGCCUGAUGCAGCGACGUCGCGUGAGGGAUGGAGGCCUGCGGGUUGUGAACCUCUUUCGCCGGUGAAGAAGGUCCUGCUCUUUGUGGUGGGGUUGACGGUAGCCGGGUUAUGAAGCGCCGGCUAACUACGUG
rnacentral:rRNA from 1 species